GCAUCUGCUGGAGGUGCAGCUGCAACUGCUGCUGCUGCUGCUGUUGCCGCAGAUACUCUUGCUGCUGCUCAUGCUGCAGCUGC
rnacentral:sRNA from 1 species